AGCCUUGGGGUGUAAUCAUGCCAGAUUGCAAAUCUGGGGACGCAGAGUAAGAUCUGCCAAGGCUU
rnacentral:tRNA from 1 species